rnacentral:lncRNA from 1 species
AGUUUGGGGCAGCCUGGUGGCUCAGCAGUUUAGCGCCGCCUCCAGUCCAGGGCAUGAUCCUGGAGACCCAGGAUCGAGUCCCACAUCGGGCUCCCUGCAUGGAGCCUGUGCCUCUGCCUCUCUCUCUCUCUCUCUGUGUGUGUUUUUCAUGAAUAAAUAAAUAAAAUCUUAAAAAAAAAAAAGUUAGCUCACCCAUGCAUUCCUCAUUGGUUAACUAAGCAAACCAAGCUUUUUUGAACAUGUAGACCUCACAUUCAUUAGGUAUAGAUAUAUCUCCUGAAAUAUCUUCCCUGAUCUUCAUCUAUUUCACUCUUUCCUGAAUUCUAAGAUAUUGACCUUCACCUGCUAUUGGUUUGUGCUUCUGCCAAAGCAUGUGUUCAGCUAGACUUCUUCUGGCCACCAGACCUUGGCUAGGUUUCCUGACCACUAACUUUCUCUUUCUCCUAGGGGAUAGAUACUAACUCUAGAAGAGUCAUCUCAUUCUACCUUCCACCCUUAUCUAGCUUAUCUCACACCUAUACAUGACUGGCCCCAAGAUGAGGAUUCAUGGCAUCCUGUAUUCCCAUUUCUUUAAACCAAAGUAGACACAAGCUGUGAUUUUGAAAAGUUUAGAAGAGUUCCUGAGAAUAACUGGGAAAUCAAAAUACAGCAGAGGUUAACCUGUCAAAAAUAUUCUUAAAACUGAUUAUUUUCCCAACUCUGACAGAAAUUUAGAAUUUCACCCAUCUAUUAUCACAACCAGAGGCCUCAGAUCCAGCUGUGUCAUCAAGUAGACCCAUUGGAAGAUUCUUACUGCAAAUUUUCUUAAUCUUCUCUAGUGGCAUUGAUUACAUAUGAGCUUAAUUUCCAUAAGGACAACAAAGAGCUACGCAAAAUAUCAUGACUGUAAUUACUGGAUGCUACAUAAGGAAAGUCAAAAGAACUCACAAAAAAAGAAGUCAAAAGAGCUCACUCUUAGUAAGGUAACCUUGGAGAGAAUCCAAUAUAACUCCCCUGUUUUCCAUUUUUAAAAAAUAUUUAUUUAUUUAUUUAUUUAUUUAUUUAUUUAUUUAUUUAUUUGAGAGAGAGAAAGAGAGAGCAUGAGUCAGGUGAAGGGGUAGAGGAAGAGAGAGAAUCCUCAAGCAGACUCCCCAGAGUGUGGAACCAAACACCAGGCUCAAUCCCAGGACCCUGAGAUCAAGACCUAAGCCAAAAUCAAGACUGGUCCACUCAACCGACUGAGUCACCCCUUUUAAAAUAUACCUUUGAGCAUAUAAUUAACUACUAUCAGAACUAGAAUCCACGUUUCAGUGUAAAAAUGAUUCCAGUAAUUUCAUGAUGUCUGGUAAUACUUUUGAAUGCAGUCAAUUUAACUACUUCAGACUGGUGACGCUAUGCUAUUUUUAAAGCCACCAGGACAAAAAUUCUACAAUGGCCCUCAAAAUUCUGUGUGGUGCUAGAGUGAUAUUUCUACUGAUCAUUUCUCCUCAUGGUUCUCUAAAUCACUCUUAUUGCAAUUUUACCCCUUCUCUUCCGUUGGAACUGAAAGAAAAAAAUACACAUUUGUUUUUAUUCCUCACUACUACAAUACUCAGAUUUAUGAGAAAUUGAGUUUGUUUCCCCCCACAGAGCUCAAAGCAUUAACCACUGUUAGAGACAUAAGCUCCUGUUGCUGUGCUGGAGUCUGCUAAAUAGAACUGCUCUUAAGAGAAGCAACCCUAUCUGAAACCAAUACUACAGUUCAAACACCUGCUCAUUACUUUGAUUUGAAUCUUAUGUCGAAAUCACCAUUUGUUUUAUAAAGAUAUGGUAUCUGAAUAUGUGUGCUUCAUCCCUCUGGAAUGUCAAUCACAAUAGACCUAUGUUCUAUUUCAAUAUUAGCUAUUACUUCAGAAAAUGACUAUCAUAUUGAAGUUACCCUGCAGAAAUUUUGUUUAGGCCACAAAACCUCUUUUAAGAUAAACUACACUAGCCCUAUCCUUUAGAUUACUCUCUGGUGGAAAUACAUCCAGCAGGUUUUGUGUUACAUGUGAUACAAGACAGACAAAAACAUAAUUCACUUUAUAUUGAUCACAAAAUAUAUACUCUCCCACAACUCUCUGAUUGUUCAAACAAUUUAGGAGAAAUCUCCUUUUCUAUUUCAUUUGUUGUUGGAUGGAACACAUCCUGAAUUUGUCAUCUCUUCUUUCUCUACAUGGAAUCCCUCAUGCUGAAGGUAAUCAAUCAAUCGGUUUACAAUAGAAUGUUUGAUAGACUGCUGUUUCACAUCACUUCCCUGAUAGGGAUAAUAAACCUAAAAUGGAGAAAUGGUAGAUA